CGCGGUAAUUUGACCGUGCGAAGGUAGCAUAAUCAGUAGCCUUUUAAUUGAAGGCUUGAAUGAAUGGUUGGAUGAGAGAAAGACUGUCUCUUUGUUAUAAAAGGAAUUUAACUUUUAAGUGAAAAGGCUUAAAUUAUUUAGAGGGACGAUAAGACCCUAUAAAACUUGAUAUAAGUUGGCUAGAGUCUGCAGAUAUAGUGUAAAGAGAUUUUAUUUAGUUUAUAUUUCGUUGGGGAGAUGAAGAUAAAACAGUAACUGUCUAGAAAAUAUAAUAAUGUUAAUUAGAGUUUGAUCCUUUAUGUAGGGAUUAUAAGAAUAAGUUACUUUAGGGAUAACAGCGUAAUUUUCUCUGAGAGUCCUUAUCGACGAGAGUAGUUGCGACCUCGAUGUUGAAUUAA
rnacentral:rRNA from 1 species